UUGAACCAUUUUUAAUUUAAGCUAAGGUGAGAUGAUGAGUGUACCGGAUUGGUUGCUUAAGUGAUUGAUUUGCACAAACUGAAUGUCACACUUCUACAAUACUUAAGGGUUGAAAAAUACAUAUUUUCCUUUUAUUUUGCAGGCAAAAUGUACUGCUCGCACAAACUAAAGUGGAUUUGUUAGUUACCAAAGCUUCAACACCGAUCGGGGUCGAUGAUUUCCUACCACUAUGUCUAUGAAACAAAACCUCCAAGAUUCAGUGAUGUGCUAUAUACUCCCUCCGUUCUAUAUUGUAAGUUGUUUUAAUUUUUCUAGAUACAUAUUUUUGUUAGAUAUAGCAUGUAUCUAGGCACAUAACAAAAUCUAUGCACUGAUAGAAAACUUGCCUUUAGUCCCAGUUGGUAGAGAGAAAAUCUCUCGAAAAUCCAUCCAGGAUAAACCAAUCGAGACAAAAG
rnacentral:lncRNA from 1 species